rnacentral:rRNA from 1 species
UACGGGGGGGGCAAGCGUUGUUCGGAAUUACUGGGCGUAAAGGGCUCGUAGGCGGCCAACUAAGUCAGACGUGAAAUCCCUCGGCUUAACCGGGGAACUGCCGUCUGAUACUGGAUGGCUUGAGUUUGGGAGAGGGAUGCGGAAUUCCAGGUGUAGCGGUGAAAUGCGUAGAUAUCUGGAGGAACACCGGUGGCGAAGGCGGCCCACUGGCUCGGUACUGACGCUGAGGUGCGAAAGCGU